UAUUGCGCCCGAUGGUGUGGCAAUCGGAAACGACCCAAUGCGCUUGUAGACGCAUAGGACACCUAAUGGGCGCACUUUU
rnacentral:sRNA from 12 species